AGGAGCCUUUCGGCUAAGAAAACUGCUGUGUACAUGUCUAUAAAAGGGAAAACAAAGUUUUCUUGAUCCCGGGAGCAUCUAUUGAAACUUUCUUCUUUCUUUACCCGUUUGGAAACUUGUUUGGUGAAGUUACUACCCAGUUGGAAUCAAGAUGGUGGAGGGGGGUGUUACUAGUGUGAGUAGAACAGAGCUCACGGAAUUCUGGCGGACAAUAUGGAGAACGCCUUAUAUUAUGCGCCUUGCCUUAUCAGCUGGAAUUGGAGGGCUUCUGUUUGGCUAUGAUACUGGUGUUAUUUCUGGUGCCUUGCUCUACAUCCGGGAUGAUUUCAAAUCUGUUAAAAACAACACAUGGCUGCGAGAAACUAUUGUUAGCAUGGCAGUAGCAGGAGCUGCGAUUGGUGCUGCAAUUGGUGGUUGGCUCAAUGACAAGUGUGGUCGAAAGAAAUCAAUUCUUUUAGCUGAUGUGCUGUUUGUUGCAGGUGCCAUACUUAUGGCUGCUGCUCCUGCUCCCUGGAUGAUCAUUCUUGGAAGAAUAUUUGUGGGAUUGGGAGUUGGAAUGGCAUCCAUGACAGCACCUCUCUAUAUUUCGGAAGCUUCUCCAGCUAGAGUUAGAGGUGCAUUGGUUAGCACCAACGGCAUGCUGAUUACCGGAGGAGCUUUUCUGUCUUACGUGAUCAACUAUGCAUUCACCAAGAUACAUGGGACAUGGCGCUGGAUGCUUGGAGUAGCAGGUUUACCGGCUCUGAUCCAAUUUCUUUUGAUGCUUUGGCUUCCUGAGUCUCCUAGAUGGCUUUAUAGGGAGAAUAAAACGGACGAAGCUAGGAAGGUUAUGGAGAAGAUUUAUCCUGCUGAUGAAGUUGAUGAAGAAGUCAAGGCAUUAAAAGCCUCUAUCGAAGCUGAGAAAGCUCAGGAAGGGUCUAUAGGUGAAAACUUUUUCACAAAGCUAAAAGGGGCCUGGAGUAAUGUAAUAGUCCGGAGGGGACUGUAUGCUGGUAUCACCGUUCAAGUAGCUCAACAGUUUGUUGGUAUCAACACCGUUAUGUACUAUAGUCCUACCAUAGUACAAUUUGCAGGAUUUGCUUCAAAUUCGACAGCUUUGGCGCUAUCUCUGAUUACCUCUGGUCUUAAUGUUGUGGGUACCGUUAUCAGUAUGCUUUUUGUUGACAGAUAUGGCAGGAGGAGAUUGAUGAUAGUUUCCAUGUUUGGGAUCAUAGCCUGUCUGGUGGUGUUGUCCCUCAUGUUUUUUGAAGCUGCCUCUCAUGCCCCACGAGUCAGUCACUCCGAAUCCUUCAAUUUUAACGUCAAUUCUACCUGUCCUGGAUUCGUCCAAGCCUCAAAUCCAGCAUCUUGGAAUUGUAUGACAUGCUUGAAGGCAUCUCCUAAGUGUGCCUUUUGUUCUAAUGGAGCGAGCCAAUACCAACCUGGGGCAUGCUUAGUGUCGGAUGGUGAUAUAAUGUAUAAAUGCCACAGCGAACAUCGUGUUUGGUUCACCGAAGGCUGUCCGAGCAAAUUCGGAAUUUUCACCGUCCUACUCCUAGGAUUGUACAUCAUUUCAUAUGCUCCUGGGAUGGGGACUGCUCCUUGGAUUGUCAACUCCGAAAUAUAUCCGUUGAGAUUCAGAGGGAUAGGUGGUGGAACUGCUGCAGUUGCUAAUUGGGUAUCUAAUCUAAUUGUUAGUGAGACGUUCUUGACCCUAAAAGAAGCACUUGGCUCUGCCGGUACUUUCCUUUUGUUUGCUGGAUUCUCCUUUCUUGGACUGGUGGCCAUUUUCUUCCUUGUACCUGAAACCAAAGGUUUGCCACUGGAGGAGAUUGAGAGCAUGCUCCAAGAGGGUUACAAGCCAACCUUAUUCUGCUGCAAAGGAAAAGCAGAGGAAAAGGAUAGCGCCAAGAGAAUAUCCAACAAAUGAUGCUGCUGCUGCUGCUGCCGCGUAAAUAAAGUCUGCCCACGAAUACAUACAAGCGGGCUACUGCAGAGGCUUUAGCUAUGCGAGGAACAAGAGCGGCUGCAAAUACUAAUGGAGAAGAGACAUUUGCACAUUCUAGUACCAGCCCUUCUACCUUAUCUGUUGGACCAACUGCUGGAAAAUCUUUUAUAUAUUAAUAUGUUAUGUAUUGAGUCCUAUGUUACAAGUACUUUAUUUUGGUUGCAAACUUCAUUAACUUAAUGCUUUUAGCAAGUCUUUUGUGGUAUCAACAAAAAUUGGAUAGCUGCUUGGGUCUUAUGCAGCAUUUCAUAAGUCCUAUCAACAACUAUUUAUCUAGUCUUGCUUAUGAUGUAAUAAAUUGAUACAACUUGGCUUUAUAUAUUAUUGAUGGUUCCUUAUCUA